rnacentral:rRNA from 1 species
CCUACGGGAGGCAGCAGUGAGGAAUAUUGGUCAAUGGACGAGAGUCUGAACCAGCCAAGUAGCGUGAAGGAUGACUGCCCUAUGGGUUGUAAACUUCUUUUAUAUGGGAAUAAAAUGUUCCACGUGUGGGAUUUUGUAUGUACCAUAUGAAUACGGAUCGGCUAACUCCGUGCCAGCAGCCGCGGUAAUACGGAGGAUCCGAGCGUUAUCCGGAUUUAUUGGGUUUAAAGGGAGCGUAGGUGGAUUGUUAAGUCAGUUGUGAAAGUUUGCGGCUCAACCGUAAAAUUGCAGUUGAAACUGGAAGUCUUGAGUACAGUAGAGGUGGGCGGAAUUCGUGGGGUAGCGGUGAAAUGCUUAGAUAUCACGAAGAACUCCGAUGGCGAAGGCAGCUCACUGGACUGCAACUGACACUGAGGCUCGAAAGUGUGGGUAUCAAACAGGAUUAGAUACCCUUGUAGUC